rnacentral:rRNA from 1 species
UUGAAGUAGACUUACAACAAUGGCUUUAGUGGCGGACUGGUGAGUAACGCGUGGGUAACCUGCCUCACACUGGGGGAUAACAGUUAGAAAUAGCUGCUAAUACCGCAUAAGCGCACAGGACCGCAUGGUCUGGUGUGAAAAACUCCGGUGGUAUGAGAUGGACCCGCGUCUGAUUAGCUAGUUGGCGAGGUAACGGCCCACCAAGGCGACGAUCAGUAGCCGACCUGAGAGGGUGACCGGCCACAUUGGGACUGAGACACGGCCCAAACUCC